rnacentral:rRNA from 1 species
GAUGAACGCUGACAGAAUGCUUAACACAUGCAAGUCUACUUGAACUUCGGUUUGGGUGGCGGACGGGUGAGUAACGCGUAAAGAACUUGCCUCACAGAUAGGGACAACAUUUGGAAACGAAUGCUAAUACCUGAUAUUAUGAUUUUAGGGCAUCCUAGAAUUAUGAAAGCUAUAUGCACUGUGAGAGAGCUUUGCGUCCCAUUAGCUAGUUGGAGAGGUAACGGCUCACCAAGGCGAUGAUGGGUAGCCGGCCUGAGAGGGUGAUCGGCCACAAGGGGACUGAGACACGGCCCUUACUCCUACGGGAGGCAGCAGUGGGGAAUAUUGGACAAGGGACCAAGAGUCUGAUCCAGCAAUUCUGUGUGCACGAUGAAGUUUUUCGGAAUGUAAAGUGCUUUCAGUUGGGAAGAAAAAAAUGACGGUACCAACAGAAGAAGUGACGGCUAAAUACGUG